CGUGUAGGCGGCCCGUUAAGUCUGGAGUGAAAGUCCUGCUUUUAAGGUGGGAAUUGCUUUGGAUACUGAUGGGCUUGAGUGCAGGAGAGGUUAUCGGAAUUCCCGGUGUAGCGGUGAAAUGCGUAGAGAUCGGGAGGAACACCAGUGGCGAAGGCGGGUAACUGGACUGCAACUGACGCUGAGGCGCGAAAGUGUGGGGAGCAAACA
rnacentral:rRNA from 1 species